rnacentral:rRNA from 1 species
GGGUUUAAAGGGUGCGUAGGUGUUCGGUAAGUCAGCGGUGAAACCUGAGCGCUCAACGUUCAGCCUGCCGUUGAAACUGCCCGGGCUUGAGUUCAGUGGCGGCAGGUGGAAUUCGUGGUGUAGCGGUGAAAUGCAUAGAUAUCACGAGGAACUCCGAUUGCGAAGGCAGCUUGCCAUACUGCGACUGACACUGAAGCACGAAGGCGUGGGUAUCAAACAGGAUUAGAUACCCUGGUAGUGCACGCAGUAAACGAUGAUUACUAGGAGUUUGCGAUAUACCGUCAAGCUUCCACAGCGAAAGCGUUAAGUAAUCCACCUGGGGAGUACGCCGGCAACGGUGAAACUCAAAGGAAUUGACGGGGGCCCGCGCAAGCGGAGGAACAUGUGGUUUAAUUCGAUGAUACGCGAGGAACCUUACCCGGGAUUGAAAUGUAGAUGACGGAUGGUGAAAACCGUCUUCCCUUCGGGGCUUCUAUGUAGGUGCUGCAUGGUUGUCGUCAGCUCGUGCCGUGAGGUGUCGGCUUAAGUGCCAUAACGAGCGCAACCCACAUCGGUAGUUGCUAACAGUUUUCGCUGAGGACUCUACCGAGACUGCCGUCGUAAGGCGCGAGGAAGGUGUGGAUGACGUCAAAUCAGCACGGCCCUUACAUCCGGGGCGACACACGUGUUACAAUGGGAGGGACAAAGGGCAGCUACCGGGCGACCGGAUGCGAAUCUCUAAACCCUCCCUUUCCCCAGUUCGGAUCGGAGUCUGCAACUCGACUCCGUGAAGCUGGAUUCGCUAGUAAUCGCGCACCAGCCAUGGCGCGGUGAAUACGUUCCCGGGCCUUGUACACACCGCCCGUCAAGCCAUGGGAGUCGGGGGUACCUGAAGGGCGUAACCGCAAGGGGCGCACUAGGGUAAUACCGGUGACUGGGGCUAAGUCGUAACAAGGUAGCCG